UUGUUCUUUAAAUGAGGACUAGUAUGAACGGCAUCACGAGGGUUACACUGUCUCCCACCUCUAAUCAGUUAAACUGAUCCCCCCGUGAAGAAGCGGGGAUAUAAAUAUAAGACGAGAAGACCCCAUGGAGCUUUAAACCCAGCACCAAUUAUCUGUAAUCACAUCAUAAAAGCCCGAUAAUACUGGCUGCCGGUUUUAGGUUGGGGUGACCACGGAGUAUAACACAACCUCCAUGAUGAAAGGCCUCCCUUAAUCCAAGAGCUACAACUCUAAGAAUCAGAAAAUGACAUACAUUGACCCAAAUAUUUUGAUCAACGAACCAAGUUACCCUGGGGAUAACAGCGCAAUCCAUUUCAAGAGCUCCUAUCGACAAAUGGGUUUACGACCUCGAUGUUGGAUCAGGGUACCCCAGUGGUGCAGCCGCUACUAAAGGUUCGU
rnacentral:rRNA from 1 species